rnacentral:lncRNA from 1 species
AUGACAAACCCGACUAACAUCCACGUGGAUGCAGAUUUUCUUAUUGUCACCUUAUUCUUGGACCAAAAACAGGGAUAUGGAGAGAGAGGAGAGCUCUCUUUCUCUCUGCUCUCACCACUGCUGCAACACAGCCCACCAAUCCAAGGAGCAUCAUCUACCAGGCCCCAUUCAUGGUUGUUUCUGAGACAGCCUUGGUCCUUGCCCAAGGGCCCUAUUAAAGUUUACGUCGGGUUAGAUGCGUUCAGUUUGCUCCACUUCUGCAGAUCCAUCCACUACUUCCACUCAUUUAAUGGAAGUCUCAGCCUUCUUUUUUUUUUUCUUAAACUGAGUCUCCCUGUGUUCUUUUCCUCCAAGACCGGGUCGAUUUGUACACAGGCUUUGGAAACAUAAAACUAAUUAUGUUGUCAUUCACCUGACAAUGGUUUUAUAAAGCACAUAGACCUGAACAUUUUUUGCUUGUUUUGUGGGGUUUUGUUUGUUUGUUUGGGGGGGGGGUCUAUUUUUGUUUGUUGUUUUGCUUUGGCUGAGCCUGAACCUUGUGGAAAUUCCCCGGGGGCUGGAAUCAAACCCGAGCCACAGCAGGGCUCCAAACCACUGCAGUGACAAUACUGGAUCCUUAAUCUGAUGCAUCACAAGGGAACUCCAAGAUGAAGUGUUUUUUUUCUUUUUUUCUUGUUAGGGCCACAGGUGUGGCAUACGGAGAUUCCCUGGCUAGGGGUCAAAUGGGAAGUGCAGCUGCCAGCCUAUGCCACAGCAACAGCAACGGCAGGUCUGAGCACCAUCUGCAAACUACCCCAAAUCUUGUGGCAACACCAGAUCCUUAACCCACUGAGCGAGGCCAGGGAUUGAACCCCCAUCCUCAUGGUGCCUAUGUGGGGUUCUUAACCUGCUGAGCCAUAAUGGGAACUCCUGCUGAGCCACAGUGGGACAUGAAUAUUUUAAGUGUUUAAAUAUAACAAUUUAU